GAUGAAGAACGCAGCGAAAUGCGAUAAGUAAUGUGAAUUGCAGAAUUCAGCGAACCAUCGAAUCUUUGAACGCACAUUGCGCCCGCCAGUAUUCUGGCGGGCAUGCCUGUCCGAGCGUCAUUUCCCCCCUCACGCGCCCCGUUGCGCGCUGGUGUUGGGGCUCCUCCGCCUGGCGGAGGGCCCCGAAAGCGAGUGGCGGGCCCGGCUGGUUGGCUCCGAGCGCAGUACCGAACGCAAGUUCUCCCCUCGCUCAGACGCCCCGCCGGCGCCCUGCCGUCAAAACGCGCAUGACGUGCAACUCUUUUUACAAGGUUGACCUCGGAUCAGGUAGGACUACCCGCUGAACUUAAGCAUAUCAAUAAGCGGAGGA
rnacentral:misc_RNA from 1 species